rnacentral:rRNA from 1 species
AGGCAUCACAAAACUAGAGGGAAGCAGAGGGAAGUGGAAUACUCAGGCGACGGUUAAAAUCGGUGGAACCUGAGUGGAACACCAGUGGCGAAGGCGACUUCCUGGGCUUCUAGACGUUAUUUAAUGACGUCGUACCUGACACUGAGGGAUGAAAGUAAGGGUAGCGAAGCGGAUUAGAUACCCCCGUAGUCC